UGGUUUGGAUUUGGUGUUUUGAAGUGGGUAGGAUUCAGAGUUUUGAUGGUGUAGAUGAGAUGGGACGAAAUGCAGGUGCACUACUAAUAUUGUAAUGCCUGAUCACUGUGGGAGAUUGGAUCAUUAUACGAUUGAAUUUUAGAAGAUACGAAGAGAUCAUCAGGGAAAUGUAUCAGUGGAGGAAAUUCGAGUUUUUUGAGGAGAAGUACUCGGGGAAAUUGCAAUUCUCGGAAGAGAUUAAGGGGACGAUCGAAUGCUGCUCCGGCGGCAGAGGUAGGAUCCUCUUCGGCUGCGACGACGGCACUGUUUCUCUUCUCGAUCGUGGCCUCAAGUUCAAUUACUCCUUCCAAGCUCACGCUUCCUCUGUCCUCUUCCUUCACCAGCUCAAGCAACGGAACUUCUUGCUAUCAGUUGGAGAAGAUGAGCAAAUAUCUCCCAAAGUAUCAGCUACAUGCCUUAAAGUUUUUGACCUUGACAAGAUGCAGGCAGAGGGGACGAGUACAUCAACUCCAGAAUGUGUUCAAAUAUUGCGGAUAUUCACCAAUCAGUUUCCUGAAGCAAAGAUCACUUCAUUUUUGGUAAUAGAGGAAGCUCCUCCAAUAUUAUUCAUUGCUAUUGGUUUAGACAAUGGUUGCAUCUAUUGUAUUCAAGGGGAUAUUGCACGUGAGCGUAUUAAGCGCUUUAAGCUUCAGGUGCAUAAUCAUGCAAACAAAAGCCAGGCUUCCAUUACUGGUCUUGGAUUUAGAGGGGAUGGCCCGGCCCUCCAGUUGUUUGCUGUCACUCCAGGAUCAGUGAGCUUAUUCAACUUCCAGGCUCAACCACCUAGCCGGCAAACGCUUGAUCAGAUUGGAUCUUCUAUCCCUAGUGUUGCAAUGAGUGACCGCUCGGAGUUUAUAAUUGGUCGACCAGAGGCUGUAUACUUCUAUGAGGUUGAUGGUAGGGGUCCUUGUUGGGCCUUUGAAGGAGAGAAGAAGUUCCUUGGUUGGUUCCGCGGAUACCUUCUUUGCAUUAUUGCUGAUCAAAGAACAGGGAGGAAUACUUUCAAUGUUUAUGAUCUGAAGAACAGGUUAAUUGCACACAGUGUAGUGGUUAAUGAUGUUUCUCACAUGAUUUGUGAAUGGGGUAACAUAAUUCUUAUAAUGAUGGAUAAAUCUGCUUUAUGUAUUGGUGAAAAGGAUAUGGAGAGUAAGCUGGAUAUGCUUUUCAAGAAGAAUCUUUAUACUAUUGCUAUUAACCUAGUCCAGACUCAGCAAGCUGAUGCCGCUGCUACAGCUGAAGUGUUGAGGAAAUAUGGGGAUCAUUUAUAUAGCAAACAGGACUAUGAUGAGGCUAUGGCUCAAUAUAUUCACACCAUUGGUCAUCUGGAGCCUUCAUAUGUGAUACAAAAGUUCUUGGAUGCACAAAGAAUCUACAACCUUACCAAUUACUUGGAAAAGUUGCAUGAAAAAGGGCUUGCUUCAAAAGACCAUACUACCCUGUUGUUGAAUUGUUAUACUAAACUGAAAGAUUUCGAGAAGCUGAAUGCAUUCAUUAAAUGCCAGGAUUCAGUUGGUGAACAUAAGUUUGAUGUGGAAACUGCAAUAAAGGUAUGCCGUGCUGCAAAUUAUUAUGAGCAUGCAAUGUAUGUUGCCAAGAAGACUGGGCAACAUGAUUGGUACUUAAAGAUCUUGCUUGAAGACCUUUGUAGAUAUGAUGAAGCAUUGAAUUAUAUUAAUAGUCUUGAGCCAAGUCAGGCUGGGGUGACAGUUAAAGAGUAUGGAAAAAUUCUUAUAGAGCACAAGCCCAAAGAAACAAUUGAGAUACUGAUGAAGCUUUGCACAGAAGAAGGAAAAGCAGGCAAGAAAGCUGCAACCCGUGUUACAUAUGUUUCCAUGUUGCCAUCUCCCAUUGAUUUUAUUAGUAUUUUUGUCCAUUAUCCACAGUCACUUUUGGAGUUCCUUGAACAGUAUACCAGCAAAGUUAAGGACUCACCUGCUGAAGUGGACAUUCAUAACACACUUGUGGAAUUAUACUUGUCUCGUGACCUUGAUUUCCGAUCAAUUUCACAAACUAGUAUUGGUGGAAAUGAAAAUGCUAAAGCAGAAAGACCUUCUGUUUCAAAAGCAGGAUUUAAUGGGAGGGCAAAUUUGAAUAGAACAGAUGUAAAUGAAGAGAAAAGUCUCCGAGAAAGACAAAUGAAGGGGCUAAGCUUGCUUAAGAGUGCAUGGCCUUCUGAAGAAGAACAACCACUAUAUGACGUUGAUCUUGCCAUAAUUUUAUGCGAAAUGAAUGGUUUUAGGGAAGGGUUAUUAUUUCUUUAUGAGAAGAUGAAACUCUACAAAGAGGUGAUUGCCUGCUACAUGCAGGCACAUGAUCAUGACGGUUUAAUUGCUUGCUGCAAGAGACUCAGUGACUUGGGUAAAGGUGGUGAUCGCUCUCUUUGGGCAGAACUAUUGAAGUACUUCGGUGAACUUGGGGAAAACUGCUCCAAUGAAGCAAAACAAGUAUUGACUUACAUUGAAAAGGAUGAUAUCUUACCUCCCAUUAUUGUUCUUCAGACUCUGUCUAGAAAUCCAUGCCUUACACUUUCUGUAAUCAAAGAUUAUAUGGUACGUAAGCUGGAACAGGAGUCAAGGUUGAUUGAAGAAGACAGGACAGCUUUUGAAAAGUAUCAGGAAGAGACAUCUAUAAUGAGAAAAGAAACCGAAGAUCUUAGGACCAAUGCCAGAAUCUUUCAGCUUAGCAAAUGUACUGCUUGUACGUUUACCCUUGACCUUCCUACUGUCCACUUCAUGUGUAUGCAUUCAUUCCAUCAGCGUUGCCUUGGUGACAACGAGAAAGAAUGCCCUGAGUGUGCUCCUGAGUACAGAGCCCUUGUCGAGUCAAAGAGAAGCUUAGAGCAAGGUUCCAAAAGCCAAGACCAAUUCUUCCAGCAGGUUAAAAGUUCAAAAGAUGGAUUUUCAGUGGUUGCAAAAUAUUUUGGAAAAGGGAUUAUCAGCAAAACUAGCAACAAUGGAAUUGCCAAUAAACCAAGCAACAGUUCUGACGAUGAGUUCUGAAAUGUUGAUGGUCUUAUGCUCUAUAACAAAUAAUUCAGUUUCACCUACUAUGUUUCUUGAAAUUUUUAUUGCUCUGUGAUAAGAAGUGAGAGGGCUUGUUUUCUGAUUGAGCUAAAUCUAGGGUCUUGUUUGCUUACCAAAUAGCCACCUGCAUUUCUGAGGUAACCUCUCCACAAGAAUUUCAAGGGGUACAUGUGAAGGGCAUAUGUCUUCAACGUUACUGGUGUUCGUCAGUACAAGCUCUUAACCCCUGGGUCUGUAGUUUUUGUCUGAUUUUGGUUACCCCUAUUUAUGGCACUGUUCCAUUGACAUUUAUUAAUGGUUUUGCUUAUAAUCUGAAAUUUGCUGUAGAGUGCCAUUCACCAAUUCUUACCAGGGAAGCAGAAUGAAAUGCUCUUGUGGAGCCAGAAAAGGAGUUGCAGAGCCUGAGAAUGCAUCCCUCUGGAUCCCUAUUCCUCCGUUGACUUCAUAGCUGGGAGUCUAUUCAAAAAAAAAAAAAACUUUAUCUAUAUGGAACUAUGAAAUUUCCAUAUAGUUGAAUAUAGGGUGAUUGUGCUGUAGACUCUAGUAUUAUGCUAUGGUUGCCACCCUAGUGACACUUUGGUUCUUUGGGAGUGAUAGUCGAGAAUAUGUAGAAAUGUGAUUUUUUUUUUCAUAAUUGUGCAUU